UACCAGCACCCCGAGUGGUCGGGACGAUUAUUGGGCCUAAAGCAUCCGUAGCCGGUUCUGCAAGUCCCCCGUUAAAUCCAGCUGCUCAACAGAUGGGCCGCGGAGGAUACUACAGAGCUAGGAGGCAGGAGAGGCAAGCGGUACUCAGUGGGUAGGGGUAAAAUCCGUUGAUCCAUUGAAGACCACCAGUGGCGAAGGCGGCUUGCCAGAAUGCGCUCGACGGUGAGGGAUGAAAGCGUGGGGAGCAAACAGG
rnacentral:rRNA from 1 species